GUUAUGCUGAAAAGUUGUCACUGAGUGCCUGCUUACCUCAAAGGGUUAAACCAUUCACAAAAUGGAGUGAGAAAUGUACAGAUUUUUCUCACUUCGUUUUUAGGCUCCCAGUCUGAGACUUUCUGUUUUAGGGCAACAAAUUAAAGGGACACUACAGGCACCCAGACCACUUCUGCCCAUUGGAGUGGUCUGGGUGCCAACUCCCACUACCCUUAACCUUGCAAGU